AAUAGAUCUUCUCUUAUUAGUACCCUAGCGCCGCCGCCUCGCUGCCGCCACUCCACCAAGAAAGGGAACUGCCGCGUGAAUUCGACCGCUGGUUCGUUGCAGUCUAAAACCUGAAGUGGCCCUUCAAGAAUGCUUGCGACUUGCCGUGAUGGAUUUCACACUGACUGGAUCGUUGGCGCUCUCGAAGCAACACUCUGCCGCCGGGCCACGGCAUCUGGGCAUUGUUGUUCGUUAAUUAUGUCUACUCAUCUUGAUCUAAUGAAGGAAGACGAAACGGCGGCGGCUUUCUGAAGAUGGAAUAAAGGUCUCCCCGCCUAGCCCCCGUUCCAGUGGUGCGUCUAGCAUUGUUGGUGGGCGUGUGGAGGUGUGUCUCCGGCGGAUCUAUCUUUGGUGGAUUUGCUCGGAUCUCGUUGGUGUUCGUCUACGUUCGUGUGUCUUUGGAUUGGAUCCUUCCGAUCUAUGUUAUUCUUCAUCUGCGGCGAU